rnacentral:ribozyme from 13 species
AAUCAGCAAAAAAAGCCAAGAAAAAGUAAUCAAGGGAGCGGAGAGUGCGGGAGAACCUCAUUUGUUCGUGUUUGGUUUUUUGUUUUGUUUUGUUUUGUUUUCUUCUUCGCCCAAACCAAACAAGAAUAAAAAGAGAAAAUGA